AGCUCCAGUAGCGUAUAUUAAUGUUGUUGCAGUUAAAAAGCUCGUAGUUGGAUUUCUAGCAGACAUGCGUGGUCCGGCGCACUUUGUGCAGCUGAGUACCGCUGCGUGUCUGUUAUCUUACUAGUUUAUCGUCCCUCUGGGAAGGUUGACUGGUUCUUUUACUUUGAAAAAUUAGAGUGUUUAAAGCAGGCUUGCGCAAUGAAUACAUUAGCAUGGAAUAAUAACAUAAGACUUUGGUUUUAUUUUGUUGGUUCAUAGCACUGAAGUAAUGAUUGAUAGGGAUAGUUGGGGGUGCUAGUAUUGAGCGGCCAGAGGUGAAAUUCGGGGAUUCGCUCAAGACUAACUUAUGCGAAAGCAUUCACCAAGGAUGUCUUCU
rnacentral:rRNA from 1 species